rnacentral:rRNA from 1 species
UACGUAGGGUGCGAGCGUUAAUCGGAAUUACUGGGCGUAAAGCGUGCGCAGGCGGUUCGUUAUGUCCGUUGUGAAAGCCCCGGGCUCAACCUGGGAAUGGCAAUGGAAACUGGCGGGCUCGAGUGUGGCGAGAGGGGGGUGGAAGUUCCGCGUGUAGCAGUGAAAUGCGUAGAGAUGCGGAGGAACACCGAUGGCGAAGGCAGCCCCCUGGGCUAACACUGACGCUCAGGCACGAAAGCGUGGGGAGCAAACAGG